rnacentral:rRNA from 1 species
AUUGAACGCUGGCGGCAUGCCUUACACAUGCAAGUCGAACGGCAGCACGGGUGCUUGCACCUGGUGGCGAGUGGCGAACGGGUGAGUAAUACAUCGGAACGUACCUUAUCGUGGGGGAUAACGCAGCGAAAGCUGUGCUAAUACCGCAUACGCCCUGAGGGGGAAAGCGGGGGAUCGAAAGACCUCGCGCGACUAGAGCGGCCGAUGCCUGAUUAGCUUGUUGGUGGGGUAAAAGCCCACCAAGGCGACGAUCAGUAGCUGGUCUGAGAGGACGAUCAGCCACACUGGGACUGAGACACGGCCCAGACGCCUACGGGAGGCAGCAGUGGGGAAUUUUGGACAAUGGGGGCAACCCUGAUCCAGCAAUGCCGCGUGAGUGAAGAAGGCCUUCGGGUUGUAAAGCUCUUUUGUCAGGGAAGAAACACCGGCUCUAACACAGUCCGGGAAUGACGGUACCUGAAGAAUAAGCACCGGCUAACUACAUGCCAGCCGCCGCGGUAA